AUCAGGAUGGCCAAGCGGUUAAGGUGUUAGCCUUAAACCCCAAUGAGUGAAAGGCUGUGUGGGUUUAAACCCCACACCUGGUC
rnacentral:tRNA from 1 species